CCGAGUCACGUGCUCAAACAACCCUUCUGUGGACCUAAUUAAAACCGUUGCCUCGGCGGGCGGCCCCACUGCGGGCCGGAUAGACUGGCCGUCUCCGGGGGAAGGAAUCCAUCCCAUCCCCUGAGGCGCCAGCGCCAGCCGCUGGCCCCAAACAAUCAAACUCUAGUAACCUUACCUUCUGAGUUUUAAUGCAAAAAAUAAGUCA
rnacentral:misc_RNA from 1 species